GACAGAGGGGGCAAGCGUUGCUCGGAAUCACUGGGCGUAAAGGGCGCGUAGGCGGGAUGGCAAGUCGGUCGUGAAAUCCUUCGGCUCAACCGAAGAACGUCGGCCGAUACUGCCGUUCUUGAGGGAUGCAGAGGAGAUUGGAAUUCCCGGUGUAGCGGUGAAAUGUGUAGAGAUCGGGAGGAACACCGGUGGCGAAGGCGGGUCUCUGGACCGAGACUGACGCUGAGGCGCGAAAGCGUGGGGAGCAAACAGG
rnacentral:rRNA from 1 species